GACGAACCGUACGAACGUUGUUCGGAUUCACUGGGCUUAAAGGGCGCGUAGGCGGGCGACCAAGUCCGGGGUGAAAUCUUUCGGCUCAACCGGAAGAGUGCCUUGGAUACUGGUUGCCUCGAGGGAGGUAGGGGCAUGCGGAACUUCCGGUGGAGCGGUGAAAUGCGUGGAUAUCGGAAGGAACGCCGGUGGCGAAAGCGGCGUGCUGGACCUCUUCUGACGCUGAGGCGCGAAAGCCAGGGGAGCGAACGGG
rnacentral:rRNA from 1 species